GAUCUGCCCACCUCGGCCUCCCAAAGAUAUGUAUUUUUAAAUACUUAUUUAGAAUAUUAAUUAAAUUAAUUUGCUGCUAAGUUGUGUGCCUCUCCACCACUAGAACCUAAGUUCCAUGAGGGUACAGACCUUGCCAGUGUUGGUCUCUGCUGUUCUUCCAGCACCUCGGUCAAUGCCUGGCGUGUGGUAGGCGUUUGAAACAUAAUAGUUGCAUAAAUGAGUGAGUGAAUGAAUGAAUAUCAACUCAUUUUAUAAACUCUAAAAUAUUCUUUAGAAGUUAUGGGUUAUUAUUACUACUAAAGCCAGACCAGAGGCUGCAACUAACUUCCUGUAUCUGAGAAUACAGAGAGCAAUGAGGAGGGUUUCAUAAGGAGAAUGGGGCUUGGGGGCAAGUAGAGAGUGGUACAAGUGAACAAGGUACCCAUGAGUUCAGAUGUUCAAGCAACAAGCAAGAAGAGUAUAUGGAGAAGACUCCUGGGGGACCAUGCCAAGUACAUAGAGAUUCACCCUCACCAAAGUUAUCACCAUCAUGAUCAUCAUGGCUACCAAGUAAGUAUCGAAUGCUAACUGUCUGCCUGACACCACAUUAAGUAAGGAGGGAACCAGUAUUUAUAGCGAGAAAAGUAACUACUUACUCUUAAUAUCAUCUACACACUUAUAUGCGUUCACACAUGUAACUGUGCAUACACACUUAUACACACACACCAUCUGUCUGAGGUUGAGUUCCUCCAAAAGAAGACUCUGAGACCAAGAUCGAGAUGCAUGUAGUUUACUUGGGAGGUGAUCUGGAGAAGAGAUGGUAAGGGAGUGGCUUAAGAAAGACAGGAAAGGGAAAGGAGCCAGUAUUGGGUAUAUUACCAAUACUGUUUGUUUGUUUUUAGAUGGUGAGAGGGUGACUGCUGUGAGUACCUGGAGUUCAAAUCUUCUGGUUCUACAUAGUGUAGAACAUACCUCAGAGUUGCCCCACCCAAGGAAAAGGAAGCUAAGAGUCAACACUUGGCAUUUCUGUCCAGACCAUCUGUAGGCUGCAUGAGGUCUUCAGGCAAGAAUAAUGUCUGCUACCUGCUACACCAUUUCAUGGGAUGGAUCUGGACAACUGAAGUCUCGUUUGCUGUGGGACUUGGGUGUACUGUACCUCAAGACAUUAAGUGAUGGACAUAGGACACAAGCUUGGAGGGGGCAAGCUAAAGCUAACUUCCUGUGAGAAUGCAGAGAGUGACGAGGAGGGUCUCAGAGGGAGCAUGGGGCUUGUCAACAGAUAGAGAGUAAUAACUCUAUGGUAGUCCAGGAUAGUCUUUGAAGGGAAACAGAGAUGUGUAUAAAGAAGUUGAUGUAAGUUGCUGUGCACAGCAUGGUAUAAACUGUCUCUGUCUUCUCAGUAAAAUCUGUAAUAAAAUUUAUAUUGCUUGUUAA